GACGAACGCUGGCGGCGUGCUUAACACAUGCAAGUCGAACGGAAAGGCCCUGCUUUUGUGGGGUGCUCGAGUGGCGAACGGGUGAGUAACACGUGAGUAACCUGCCCUUGACUUUGGGAUAACUUCAGGAAACUGGGGCUAAUACCGGAUAGGAGCUCCUGCUGCAUGGUGGGGGUUGGAAAGUUUCGGCGGUUGGGGAUGGACUCGCGGCUUAUCAGCUUGUUGGUGGGGUAGUGGCUUACCAAGGCUUUGACGGGUAGCCGGCCUGAGAGGGUGACCGGCCACAUUGGGACUGAGAUACGGCCCAGACUCCUACGGGAGGCAGCAGUGGGGAAUAUUGCACAAUGGACGGAAGCCUGAUGCAGCAACGCCGCGUGCGGGAUGACGGCCUUCGGGUUGUAAACCGCUUUCGCCUGUGACGAAGCGUGAGUGGCGGUAAUGGGUAAAGAAGCACCGGCUAACUACGUG
rnacentral:rRNA from 1 species